UACGAAGGGGGCUAGCGUUGUUCGGAAUUACUGGGCGUAAAGCGCGCGCAGGCGGUUCUCCAAGUCAGUGGUGAAAGCCCGGAGCUCAACUCCGGAACUGCCAUUGAAACUGUUGAACUUGAGGACGAGAGAGGUGAGUGGAAUUCCCAGUGUAGAGGUGAAAUUCGUAGAUAUUGGGAAGAACACCGGUGGCGAAGGCGGCUCACUGGCUCGUAUCUGACGCUCAGGCGCGAUAGCGUGGGGAUCAAACAGG
rnacentral:rRNA from 1 species